AGAGAUGAUAGUAAAACACCAGAAGAAAAAGUGGUGGAAUGUCUGGAAAUAUGCAAGAAGUGGCAUAGGGUUUGAUGCCACUCUUCACAGUUGGAUCUCUUUGCCAUGGGUCUGCCUUCACAGCUGGAAUCCAGAGUGCAGCCGGGACUCAAGCCUUGCUACAUCGCUAUGAACUGCAGGAGCUGGAAGCAGUGUCUUAGCUACCAGGAAUAAAAUUGUCGCACCUUCUAAACAGCAGAAUAAGCCAAACUCAACAAUCAAAGACUUAUUUUUCUGUGAAUGAUUCUAACUAGUCCCUUGAGGAAAGGAAUUGGGUGGAGGAUGCAAAUGAAUAAAUGAAGAACAAAAAGGCCAAUUCAUCCUACAACUGUUCUCAGCUCCAUAUUCCUGCUUCCUGGAAUGAUUGCUGAAACAAACCACUUGCACCCACAUGCUUGUCUCCAUCCGGAUCAUCCAGGAUGCUUCUGAGGAGGUAGAAGGCAAGAAAAAGAGGAGGCCUGUGUACUCCAGAAGAAGAGCAAUCAGUGAUGACUCAGAAGAUUACCCCAGUAAGACCCAGCACACGGACCUCACCAGUGAGUGGCAGCUCUAAGUCUUCCUCUGUGGGGACAUUUGGAAGACGACUGCUCAGGUAUUUUGUAGAAUUUUGUUCUUGUCUGUUUUAUUCCUAACAAUUAUGUUGCGGUUAUGACUGUCGGGGACAAACACCAUG